ensembl:lncRNA
GCACUCAGCCUGUCCUGCUUCGUGGGGAGAAGCGAGCGGACCGGGUCGGGGGACAUGGUGGAGGAGGAGACGCCUUCUGCGAAGCCUCUGUCUCCCUGCAGGCUCUUGACCACUCCCGUCCACAGCAGUGGCCAGCCCUGCACAGCCAGACAAGCGCGGCCAGACAGAGCAACCGGGAGAAGGGAGCGAUUAUUGAUGGCAGCCGUGAAGGGGAGUUGCCGUGCGCUGCAGGAUGGGAGCGUGGCGACGGAAUUCACCUGGGGCUCCUCGUGCCUGCGUCCAGAGAAGCUGACCCAGGAAACAUUGCCCCGCACCUGGCUUACCCCCAGACCACCCGCCAGCCGGGCCACAGCUGCCCUCAGCCAGCGCCAUCCCAGGAGGGCCUGGCUGCAGCUUGGGGUCCGAGGAAGCAGCCACCCAGCGGAGGGCAGAGCCCUGCCACCCCACGCCCAGCAGGUUAAAAACCCUUUCCUGCUCCCCAUCGCCCUCGGGAUAAAGUCCAAACUCCUAAGAAAACUGGCCAGGCCCUCCCUUCCUGCCCUGAGUCAUCUCCCUCCUGCCGGCACCCAGCCCUGCCCACAAAGCUGCCCGAUCCUGGGCAGACGGCAGCUCUGGACCACUGUCCACACCGGCCACUCCACAUUCCACCGAAGGCCCGGCCCCACCGUGGCCUCUGUGGGCAGCUGGCUGACUGCUCCCAACACGCACGCCCCAAAGCCGGGUGAGCCUCCUCUGCCGCACCAGUAGCCCACACCCUCCCGGUGCCUCCGGGAGUCCUGCUCCCUGGAUGUCCCCACCGGCCUGAGAGCCCGUCAAGGCUGGGGACCUGGGCGUGGGAUCACCAACUUUCCAUUGCCCUACCUGGGACAUUGUGGGAGCUCACGAUACUCAUGGAGUGGGGGCAAGGAAGGAAGUAUGGUGUUGUUUUCACGGGGCUGGCUUCCUCUCUGAGCCUGGGGAUGGGCUCUCAGGGUCCCUAUUUACAUCUCAGAAGUUUUGUACUUACGAAAACACCCUUUCCCUUUCGGGGCCUCAGCUUGCCCAUCAGUACAAUGGGUCUCCAGUCCCUGAGUCGGGUAUGUUCUCUGAGAAAGCCUUUUAGGGUUUGCUUUGGGGAAAACCCAGAGACAGCACUGAGAAAGUCUCCAGGGGAUUUGAACUCCCUCCUCCAUCACUCCCAGCCUGCCCCGUCCUUGCUGGUCACCAGCCCCAGAGCCCCCUUCAGGGCGCCCCCAUCCUCAGGUCGAUGAUGACUGCUGGCAUUUGUUUCUCCCACUGACGAGAGUCCACGCCCCCCAGAGGAGCCACGUCUGAGCUUAAAAAAAAACAAAAACUGCCCAGAGAAAAGGGGCUGCCCUGGAAACACGGUCGCCCGGGAGGAGAGUCAGACUUAUCUGCCUACAGGGGGCCAGCCUCAGCAUCCCGCCUCCCCGGGAUGCGCAGCGUCACCCUCACAGGCAGGAUGGGAAGGUGAGCCCCAGCCCACACCCUGUUGACGAGCCAAAGGAGACGGCGUUCCUCCUCGCCACGGGCGUGGACCUCCACUCACCGCCCCUGGGGACACCCGCUCCUGGUGGGCCCCUGUUGGCCACUUUCCCCGCCUCCUGCUUCCAGGCGGUGCUGGCCACAUGUGGGACCUGCUGGGCACCUCUGCCAGCAC